rnacentral:lncRNA from 1 species
AAAAAAUCAAUCAAAAGAGGUGUUCAAAUCCUCAAUAAAAAUAAAGAAAAACAAGAUUAGGUGAUCACCAUAUCAAGAGUCGAAGGGUCACCAACAUUCUUGAUAAAAACAAAAUAAGGUGACUGCCAUUUCAAGAAAAUCUCAUUAGAUCUUGAGUCUUCAUAUUUAUCCUUACACCUUCAAUCUCUCUUGGAAAUUGAAUGUGUGUGUCGAAUUAACUG